ACACAUGCAAGUCGAGCGGUAGAGAGAAGCUUGCUUCUCUUGAGAGCGGCGGACGGGUGAGUAAUGCCUAGGAAUCUGCCUGGUAGUGGGGGAUAACGUUCGGAAACGGACGCUAAUACCGCAUACGUCCUACGGGAGAAAGCAGGGGACCUUCGGGCCUUGCGCUAUCAGAUGAGCCUAGGUCGGAUUAGCUAGUUGGUGGGGUAAUGGCUCACCAAGGCGACGAUCCGUAACUGGUCUGAGAGGAUGAUCAGUCACACUGGAACUGAGACACGGUCCAGACUCCUACGGGAGGCAGCAGUGGGGAAUAUUGGACAAUGGGCGAAAGCCUGAUCCAGCCAUGCCGCGUGUGUGAAGAAGGUCUUCGGAUUGUAAAGCACUUUAAGUUGGGAGGAAGGGUUGUAGAUUAAUACUCUGCAAUUUUGACGUUACCGACAGAAUAAGCACCGGCUAACUCUGUGCCAGCAGCCGCGGUAAUACAGAGGGUGCAAGCGUUAAUCGGAAUUACUGGGCGUAAAGCGCGCGUAGGUGGUUAGUUAAGUUGGAUGUGAAAUCCCCGGGCUCAACCUGGGAACUGCAUUCAAAACUGACUGACUAGAGUAUGGUAGAGGGU
rnacentral:rRNA from 1 species